AGAGUUUGAUCCUGGCUCAGGACGAACGCUGGCGGCGUGCCUAACACAUGCAAGUCAAGGAGAAGGAACCCUUCGGGGUUCCGGAAACUGGCGCACGGGUGAGUAACGCGUAGGUAAUCUGCCCUAAUCCGGGACAUAACGUCGGGAAACCGGCGCUAAUAUCCCAUGAGGUACUUCGGUAUCAAAGCUUCGGCGGUUUAGGAUGAGCCUGCGUCUGAUUAGCUUGUUGGUGAGGUAACGGCUCACCAAGGCUGCGAUCAGUAGCUGGUCUGAGAGGACGAUCAGCCACACUGGAACUGAGACACGGUCCAGACUCCUACGGGAGGCAGCAGUGAGGAAUAUUGGUCAAUGGGGGAAACCCUGAACCAGCGACGCCGCGUGUGGGACGAAGGGGCUUUGCCCUGUAAACCACUGUUGAGAGGGAAGAAAUGCUUUUUUUGAAAGCUGGGACUGUACCUCUUAAGAAAGGAUCGGCUAACUACGUGCCAGCAGCCGCGGUAAUACGUAGGAUCCAAGCGUUGUCCGGAAUCACUGGGUGUAAAGGGUGCGUAGGCGGGCUUGUGCGUCAGAGGUUAAAUCCCACAGCUUAACUGUGGAACUGCCUUUGAUACGGCAAGUCUUGAGUGUGAGAGAGGAUGGUAGAAUUCUUGGUGUAGCGGUGAAAUGCGUAGAUAUCAAGAGGAAUACCGGUGGCGAAGGCGGCCAUCUGGCUCACUACUGACGCUGAGGCACGAAAGCGUGGGGAGCAAACAGGAUUAGAUACCCUGGUAGUCC
rnacentral:rRNA from 1 species